rnacentral:rRNA from 1 species
CAGUAGCCGCGGGAAUACAGAGGGUGCGAGCGUUAAUCGGAUUUACUGGGCGUAAAGCGUGCGUAGGCGGCUUCUUAAGUCGGAUGUGACAUCCCUGAGCUUAACUUAGGAAUUGCAUUCGAUACUGGGAAGCUAGAGUAUGGGAGAGGAUGGUAGAAUUCCAGGUGUAGCGGUGAAAUGCGUAGAGAUCUGGAGGAAUACCGAUGGCGAAGGCAGCCAUCUGGCCUAAUACUGACGCUGAGGUACGAAAGCAUGGGGAGCAAACAGGAUUAGAUACCCCUGUAGUCCCUGUCUCUUAUAC